rnacentral:rRNA from 1 species
UACGGAGGGUGCAAGCGUUGUUCGGAAUUACUGGGCGUAAAGCGCGUGCAGGCGGCCCGCUAAGUCCGAUGUGAAAUCCCGGGGCUCACCCCCGGAAGUGCAUCGGAUACUGAUGGGCUGGAGUACCGGAGAGGAGGACGGAAUUCCUGGUGUAGCGGUGAAAUGCGUAGAUAUCAGGAGGAACACCGGUGGCGAAGGCGGUCCUCUGGACGGAUACUGACGCUGAGACGCGAAAGCGUGGGGAGCAAACAGG